UACGCCCCUUUGUAGUUCUCAUAGCCUGAAAUGUACAUAAGGUCAAUUAAUCCUCACGACCACUCUGAGAGUCUGUGUAAUAUCCUUCUCUCCACACAGAGAAAGAAGCUGAGGCUGCAGGGUUCGCGGGGUCCCUGCUCCAAAUCCGCACAGCCUCGGGGUGGCACGGCUGGCACGCAGGUCUGAGUCCAGAGCCCGUGGGCAUUUUUGUUUUGUUUUGUUUUGUUUUGCCAUUGCUCUGCCUUCGUGUAUCUAAACCAGUACUUUUCAGACUCUUUUGUGAGUGAAGCCAUUUCUUCCAAGUCAAUCUCUGGAAAGCCCCAGUGAAGAAAUUCCUCCGACAUCCUCCUCGCAGGCCUGGCGGAGACAGGUAGCAGGGACCGAGCAGCUGCACACAGAACCUCGAAGUUCACCUCCAGAGGCGAAAGGGACCAAGUCAUCCUUGCUGUCUUGUUCUUCUUGGAACCCUGAGCCGCCCCGGGAACAGACCCAGCCUCCCAAGCUAGAGAAUCACCAACACAUGGCCUGCCUACCUUUGUGGUCUCAGCUGACAGCCUGUUAAUGCCAAGAAGCAGAAGCACCCAGACAGCUGGAAGCCGACUGCAGA